GCCUGCUCCCGCCCCGCCCCGCAGCGGCCCCGGGUGGGAGCCUGGCUGCCCUCUGCCCUAGCCAGACGCUCUUGGGAGGGCUUAGCCUCCGAGCUGAGUGGGGGCGCGCAGGGCAGUGCCUCAGGAUUAUGGAGGAUUGCCCAAUUUCAGUGCCCAGACUCAGAAGCCAAAUUUGGAGCCUGGGAAGACAGCCACCAGGUGAAGGAGGGUAGGGGUGGCAAGACCAGCCCCCCGGGCCCAGGAACCAGGCUCCUCGCUCAGCUUCCCCGUGGGCCUGUUCUUUCGGCUCUAGCCAUGCCUGCGCCCAGGCCAGGUCAGGCUGGAGCAGAGAGGCCACCCGGCUUUGUCCAGGGAGGCUCUCUGAUGAGUCACUCAGAUGGGUCCAAUCCUUUGGGAGGGUGAAUCCUGGCAAAGGUGUGCCCUUUAGCCCAGCAAUGCCCCAUCCAGUCAUCAGCUAAAAGAACUGUCAAGAAUAUGCCCAGAGAUGUGUCUGCACAGGCUUCUGUUUUGUCAGUGGCUGUGAGCCCAGUACACAGAGGGUGCCCAUAGCUGAGCAUGUUGGAGGAAAUAUUUGCUAAAUGGAUGGAUGUUCCUGGCAGCAUUAUUCACAAUCCCGGAAACAGCCCUGAUGGAACCAUCACUGGGCGGUGGAGAGACUGGCAAAAUGAGCAUCUCACACACUGGGCUGUCAAUAAAGAAAAUGAUGUGGAAGUGGCUAUUUUGAAAGGUGCUCAGUGUCUUAACAAGUGUGAGUAGCUGAUGACAAAUAGCGGGGUACCUGGAGUGGAGGCAUAGAACCAUGAUCGUCUCCAAGUGGAACCUUGGGCAAUUUCUCAUUCUCUUCUCAUCUGCACUUACCUAACGUGUGUGCAACAAACAUGCGUUACUCACGUGCAAAGAAGUGUGAGAAGUGUGUGAGUGGCCACAGCGGCCAACAGGAGCCCCGGAAGGAGAGGAUGCACCUGUCCGCGGGACCCCCCGGCUCAGGCUUGGUUUGCGGUGUGUGUGAGGGGAAUAGGGGUUUGGACUGCUCAUGGGGGUCUGCGGUAGAGAGGUGACUCGAUUUUAUUUUUUUUUAGCAUUUAUUUACUCGGCCACACCAGGUCUUAGUUGCAGCAUGCAGGGUCUUCCAUCUUAGCUGCAGCAUGUGGGACCCAGUUCCCUGAUCAGGCUCAGAGUCUUAGCCACUGGACCACCAGGCAAGUCCCCUGAAGUGCCUUAAGCUUAAGCCAUGGCUGGGCCUGCAGCAGAGCCCCGACCAGUCCCACUGCUAUCCCCGCGGAGCUGGGGGUUAGGAGGAUGCAGUUGUGGAAAGAAUAGUCUAGUUAAUAACAGGGUGCUGACAGGAAAUGGAACCUCAUCAAAGGGUGACUCAGAGACGAGGAUCAGGGCUACUCGGGGAAUGGACUGGGGUGCCCUAGGAGGAGGGGUGUCCAGGGCCAGCACUGACCCCUGGAGCCCAGUUGCAGCUGUGGAGGGAGGCCCCUGACCACUCGCCCUGUAACUGUGUCUAAGAUGCAGGCUGUGCCCACCCUCACCCUUCCCAUCUGACUCCCCUGAGCUCUGCACCUGAGCUGGGGGCACCAUCAGGCUGCCAUCAGGAAGGGCUGGUCUCCCCAAAGCCUGCCUGCCCCCCCUCACUCUCCUCCUCCAGUGUGAGCUGCUGGAAGGAAUGGCUUCCCAGGCCGUCACUUUCUAACCUGAGUCCUGCCGCCAGCAGAUGGAAAUAGCCCCUUCCCAGCUUGUUACAAUCCACCUGUGCAAUCUCAAUAACUGCCAUUUAGGGUGUUCUGUGUGCUUUGACUUGGGUGCACCAGCAGCAGGGAAGCUGAGGUCCUAACUACCUGGCGAGGAUUAGAAACCCCUGGGGCUUCGGGAAAAAAGCAGCCCCAGGUCCUGUCCCAGACCCCCAGGUCCUGUCUCCCCGCCCACCCCUCUCUUAACAGUUAUUACUGAAGAAGGAACUCGUAGGGCCUGGACUCCAUCUUAGGCCUCUUCAUGCUGAUCAUGCUCGGCUGCCUUUCCAGUGGACUCUGAACUCUGUGUUCAGUGCCUAUGAACACAACAGCAGAAGGAUAAGACCCCUCCAGACAGGGGAACCUUGAAGAUUGGAUCUAGGUUACUCAUCGCCCAAGAGAAAGCAUACACUAAUCACCCCUUCCUCCAGACAGGCCAUAAAUUUUUCUGUAACAAUCGGAGUGUAACCUCGGGUUUAUUGAUUAUUGGCUAACUGUUUGACUGUCUGAGCACAUGAGCACACAGCACGUGAAUGACGGGCUUACUGGGAUUGUGUUUUCCUUGGUUGAUGUAAGUCUCAAGGAAUUUGGAGUGGUGGGUUCAGACACGUACACAUGGGGUAUAAAAGAUUUUCACAAAUGCUGGUCGGGGUCCUUGGCUAAGAGGAGACUCUGCCUUGGGCGCACCUGUGUAAUAAACUGCACUCCGCUAUCUGCAUUGUCCUUCUGAGUGAAUUUGUUUCCCGGAACGUGUGGCUACAACAUUUGCUGCAUUGGCUGGGAAACUCCUCACUUUGAGGAGACAGGUCUCAUUUGAGGCCACCCCGAGGCUUUGUGGCUUGAAUCUCCUAGAGGGGGGAAGGCGCCUCACCCCUCUGGAAGAAUUUAGCCUUUCAGUGCCUGGUUUCUUUGCUUUGGUAGGUAGUGAACGGCAGCAAGGGAACUGAGCGCUCAGUUGCUGGUAUUGUCCCUUGGAUCCAUCAUACGAGGGUGAAGAGAACAUACCACGCAGACCCAAAAAACGCUGAGUGGACUGCACAGAGGGACCCCGCUGACCCUCGAGAGACUAAGACCAUCCUUAAGAAGAAGGAAAAGAAGAUCCCGGACAAGCCCAUUCAGGAUGAAGCCGCACAAUCAACUCCUGCUGCUUGGCCUCAUCAACGUGAUUUUGAAUUUAACUUCCGUUUCGACUCAGGACAAUGUUUUCAUCUCAUGGGCACCUUCCUACGCAGACUUCCACAACACUCCCAACUGCUGGGUAUGUAGGGCUGUGCCUCUGUCAGUGAGGGAUGGAAUUCCUUGGAGGGUGUCACCACUCUGCCAAGGAGAUUUUAAACCACUCUGCUCUUUUCUGGGAUGACAAACAGAGACUUUCCUCUCUCUUGCCAAUCAUAACCUCUCCUUGCUCUUUUGGUGUAAGACCUACAGUCAGUAGACUCGGGUCAUGGGGUUACAUUUGAUAUAAAUGCCAGUGUAACAAAAGCCUAACCUACUUGUUGUAAAUCUACCCCGUAGUCCCGGUAAAUCUACCUUAUUUACAUGCCAGGUGGACAAGAUCCGUGUGAGUAUGGUAUGAGUAUAUUGCUGCCUUAUUCAUACCCUCUAUAGGGACAACAGAUAUCAUGAUUAAAGUAGAGGCCUUGACUAAUUUCACAAAACAGGCCCUCCUAGAUAGAACAAAAGCCAUCCAAGCCUUAAAUGAAGAGCAACUCCAAAUGAGAAAAGCGGUAAUUCGUAACAGAAUGGCUGUGGACAUACUCACAGCUUGUGCUAUGAUUAAGGUUGAAUGCUGUGUAUACAUUCCUGACUUAUCUGGCGAUGUAUCGACUGCUUUAGAUGACAUGAAAACCAGGUAAAAGCAAUGUCGAAUGGAAACCUCCCUUUCUGGACUUCGGUCCUAUCUUGGGUGAAGGGCGAUGGGUGGAAAACUGUAUUCACCACUGUUGUAGUUGUCUUGAUAGUCCUGCUUUGUGGACCCUGGAUUUUACAAUGUAUUAUGAACUCCGUAACCCGAAGGUUGAUGUCAUUCUCCCAAAUUGGCGGUUGGAGGGCCAGGGUGCAAUAUAUCCUUAUGAAUGAUGCUCAUAAUAUGAGUUGAGAGCAUCAAGAGAGGGGAAUGAAGGAGGAACUCGUAGGGCCUGGACUCCAUCUCAGGCCUGUUCAUGCUGAUCAUGCUCGGCCGCCUUUCCAGUGGACUCUGAACUCUGUGUUCAGUGCCUAUGAACACAACAGCAGAAGGAUAAGACCCCUCCACACAGGGGAACCUUGAAGAUCGGAUCUAGGUUACUCAUCGCCUAAGAGAAAGCAUACACUAAUCACCCCUUCCUCCAGACAGGCCAUAAAUUUUUCUGUAUCUAUCAGAAUGUAACCUCGGGUUUAUUGAUUAUUGGCUAACUGUUUGACUGUUUGAGCACAUGAGCACACAGCACGUGAAUGAUGGGCUUACUGGGAUUGUGUUUUCCUUGGUUUAUGUAAGUCUCAAGGAAUUUGGAGUGGUGGGUUCAGACACGUACACAUGGGGUAUAAAAGAUUUUCACAAAUGCUGGUCGGGGUCCUUGGCUAAGAGGAGACUCUGCCUUGGGUGCGCCCGUGUAAUAAACUGCACUCCACUAUCUGCAUUGUCCUUCUGAGUGAGUUUGUUUCCUGGAACACGUGGCUACAACAUUAUGAAGCUAAUUUUCCUGUGUCUCUGACAAAAACACUGCACUUUCAAGAUAAGAGUCUCCCCAGUGGAACUUCCUUCUUGGUCUAGUGGCUUAAGACUCCGUGUGCCCAGUGCAGGGGGCCCAGGGUUUGAUCCCUGAUUGGGGAACUAGAUCCCAUAGCCCUCACCUAAGACCUCACUGCAGCC
ensembl:lncRNA